GUGGUUUAAUUCGAUGAUACGCGAGGACCUUACCUGGCUUAAAUGUAGAGUGCAUGAUGUGGAAACAUUGUCUUCCCUUCGGGGCUCUCUGCAAGGUGCUGCAUGGCUGUCGUCAGCUCGUGUCGCGAGAUGUUGGGUUAAGUCCCGCAACGAGCGCAACCCUUGUCUUUAAUUGCCAUCAUUUAGUUGGGCACUUUAAAGAGACUGCCGGUGUUAAGCCGGAGGAAGUGGGGAUGACGUCAAGUCCUCAUGGCCUUUAUGCCCAGGGCUACACACGUGCUACAAUGGGCGGUACAAAGAGAAGCAACCUCGCGAGGGUGAGCAAAUCUCAAAAAGCCGUUCUCAGUUCGGAUUGAAGUCUGCAACUCGACUUCAUGAAGUCGGAAUCGCUAGUAAUCGCGGAUCAGCAUGCCGCGGUGAAUACGUUCCCGGGCCUU
rnacentral:rRNA from 1 species